UACGAAGGGGGCUAGCGUUGUUCGGAAUCACUGGGCGUAAAGGACGCGUAGGCGGCCUGGCAAGUCGGGUGUGAAAGCCCUCGGCUCAACCGAGGAAGUGCGCCCGAAACUGCAGAGCUUGAGUACCGGAGAGGAUGGCGGAAUUCCUGGUGUAGCGGUGAAAUGCGUAGAUAUCAGGAGGAACACCUGCGGUGUAGACGGCUUACUGGACCAUAACUGACGCUGAGGCACGAAAGCGUGGGUAGCAAACAGG
rnacentral:rRNA from 1 species